UACGAAGGGGGCUAGCGUUGCUCGGAAUUACCGGGCGUAAAGCGCACGUAGGCGGCUCUUUAAGUCGGAGGUGAAAUCCUGGAGCUCAACUCCAGAACUGCCUUCGAUACUGAAGAGCUCGAGUCCGGGAGAGGUGAGUGGAACUGCGAGUGUAGAGGUGAAAUUCGUAGAUAUUCGCAAGAACACCAGUGGCGAAGGCGGCUCACUGGCCCGGUACUGACGCUGAGGUGCGAAAGCGUGGGGAGCAAACAGG
rnacentral:rRNA from 1 species